rnacentral:miRNA from 1 species
UCACCGGGUGAAAAUUUGCAAG